GGAUAUAACUCAGUUGGUAGAAUGCUUGCCUCACAUUCACGAAGCCUUGGGUUCAAUUCCCAGCACCA
rnacentral:tRNA from 1 species